rnacentral:misc_RNA from 1 species
AACGCAACUUGCGCCCCUUGGCAUUCCGAGGGGCACGCCUGUUUGAGUGUCGUGAAUUCCUCCACCCUUUCACUUUGUUGUGACCGGGAUGGGAUUUGGGGGCUUUGCGGGAUCUUUCUAAGAGUCCGCUCCCCUUGAAUGCAUUAGCGAAAGGACCCUCGUGGCCUCGGUGUGAUAAUUAUCUACGCCGACCGGACAUGGAUAGACUUUUGCUUCGAACCGUCUUCGGACAACACAUCUGAAACUUGACCUCAAAUCAGGCGGGACUACCCGCUGAACUUAA